rnacentral:rRNA from 1 species
AUGGCCUCCACCAACAGCUGGACCCAUGAGAUUGAGUCGCCGGUCGCUGCAUCACGCCUCUUUCGUGCCGGCGUCAUGGACUGGCACACCCUGGCCCCCAAGCUCGUGCCACAGAUCGUCGCCAGCGCCCACCCUGUUGAGGGAGAAGGCGGCAUCGGCAGUGUCAGGCAGUUCAACUUCACCUCAGCCAUGCCCUUCAACCUCAUGAAGGAGAGGCUCGAGUUCAUUGACGUGGACAAGUGUGAAUGCAAGUCAGCCCUCAUCGAGGGUGGUGGCAUCGGCACGGCAAUCGAGACGGGCACGUCGCACAUCAAGGUGGAGCCGGCAGCCAACGGUGGGAGCGUGGUGAAGGUGGAAUCGACAUACAAGCUGCUUCCAGGCGUAGAGGUGAACGAUGAGAUCACCAAGGCCAAGGACUCUGUCACGGCCAUCUUCAAGGCCGCCGAGGCCUACCUUAUUGCCAACCCGGAUGCCUACAACUAA